rnacentral:lncRNA from 1 species
UCAUUUUUUGAACAUUCAUACUUAUAAAUGUGAAAUUUCAAAAACUCUUCAAGAAUUUUAAAUAUUAAUGUAAACAUACACAAUUAUUUAACAUAAUAAUCUGUCAUUUUGAAAUACUGAAAUAUCAUCAAAAACUUUUGCUUUAUAAUCAAAACUUUUCAUUUAAAUAUAUGAAAGAAGAAACUUCUAAAUGAUUCAAUUGCAAAAUAUGAUAUACAAGAUGAUUUUAUUAUUUUUACAUGUCAAAUAACAAUAGCAUCUGAGAAAAGGCAAAGUAAAAUUAUGACCAAUUCAAGUUAUAAACAAAAUUUGCUUAAGAAUUAACUUUGCAACUCAGAAUAUCUAUACUUACGAUAAUAAUACAUGUUUAUAAUUAUAGUUUAAUUUAUGCAGUUAUUUCCUAAUUUCUGUGAAAUGACCACAUAAAGUGAAAAUGUGCAAAAUAAGACUUUUAUAACAUGUAUCUCAAUAUAGAUUUCAGAAAAUCCAUGCCCUUGUCGAUCAGAAAUCAAUGUCAUCAAUCAAAGCAGUCAUGGGUUAUUUAAUUGAGGGAUUAUUAUUUGUUAAAUUGAGAGAAAUUUCUCAAUUAAAACUGCAUAAGCAUCUUUUUCAAACUACUAUUAGUCCUCUUAUGCUAAAAUAUAAUAAACUGCUAACAAAGAGUAAGGCCAAGACAUAAGGAAGACAUGAAAAUGUGUGUUAAUUUUCUCCUCUAUAGUAAUAGUGCAGUGUGACUAAACAUACCAUCUUGAUGAUAUAAAGAAUAAAUUAGUGAUAAUCAAAGUAUUAUUUUUUUCUUUAUGCUGCUUUUGGAUUCUGAUCAUGCCUGAAACUUUGCAUAACUGAUAAAUGUCAUACCUGCAUGAUUGUUGUUCAGUUCAUUUUGCAUUUUUGCUAUUUUUGUGCAGAAACCAAAUACAUUUUUAAAUUUUAUAGCUGUAUUGUGAUUAUAUCAAUUACAUUUAUGAAUGCAAACUAUGAAUUUUUUGUAUCUCUGAAAACUGGGAUAUAUUCUUCAAAUGCAUAUUUCCAAGAAAAUGUGAAUAAAAAGCAAGUUAAACAAGAAUUAGGUAUAUUUCUGAAAACAUUCUUAAAUUGAUAUGAACAAGUUCAUCAAAGCAGUUUUGUAUGCCACCAUAACUAUUAUUAUUGCAAAGCCAUUAAUAAUGGCCAUCAUGUGUACAAAUUGUAAGAUACUGCCUUUGAAAAUCAAGGAUCCUUGAUAUUGCGAAUAAAUAGUAGGUAAAUUAAAUUACCCAAUUUAUGAGUUAAGAAAUAGAUUAAAUUAUAUUUGAAAUUUGCACACUGUUAAAAAACAUAAAGAAUGAAUAUAGUCUUUUCCUGAUUAAGAAAAAUAACUUAAAAACUAUGCUAGAUAGAAAUAUGUAGUUUGUAGAAUUACAUAGAUCAAUUAAGAAAUUUUUCUAUUGUACAGGAACCUGUACUGUACAGUACAGGUUCUAUGAAUGAUCUAGUUGAUACUGCAGUUGUCAUUAUGAAAACGGUAUCUAUGAAGACGAAAGCUCAAUCUGUUUUGUGGUAUCAUAAAACAUAAUUGUCAGUAACAUUUCAGUGAAAUUUCAGAAAUGAAUAUGGAUGAGAUCAUCAUAAGUUAAAAGCAUCGAUGGUUGGUUAGUAUGCAAAGUUUAAAGACACUGAAAGUUGUUGAUCACCUUAGUCCUAGUAUGACUGAGAAGACUGUUGAAACUAUACAGUAUAUGUUGCUUUUCAAUACAGUCCUCAGAAAACUAAUGCUUUAGCAAUAGUGACUGACAAGAUGUUGGGAAAAACUUGGAGAAAAAUCAUGUAUCAAUUAACAUUCUCUGGGUUUUCAUUCAUUUCAAAUGAUGACAUGUUGAAAUGUUCUAAUAUAGAAAAAAAAAACUCCAAAAUAUUUAUUGUUUUGGUUGAAAAAAAUUUGGGUUGAGAUAAUGUGCAAAAAAA